ACCACACUUUCUUGUCUAGGACCCCUCCUUCUUUGGAUCUAGAAACCAUACUUAAAAGCUACGUGUCCUGCACAACUUUUGUAUGUGGAUCUGCGCUGAAGUGUGAGGAUCUGAAGAAAGUUUCAGUGGAGCAUGCAGAAGCUUGCCUGAUUCUAGCCAACCCUUUGUGCAGUGACCUGCAUGCUGAGGACACUUCAAACAUCAAGAGGUUUUCCUGCCAAAAAUUCCCAGCUGGAAUUGGAGUACUGGAGACAGUAUCAUCUGCUUCAGAGAAUUAAAGCUUGGGUUUAUGGCACAAGGCUGCUUGGUACCAGGCCUGUCUACCUUUCUUAUGACUCUGUUUAUUGAAGAAAAC